UUGUUUUUUCCAUGUAUCUUUUCUAGAAACCGAUUUAUCUAAGCUUCGCUGAUUCGAUCGGUAGGAACUUUUUGGUGGUCGACAUUCAGGAAAUGCCAGGAGGGUAACAAGUUGCAUCGGAAAACUGAAAUGCCGAAGUUAAAUUAACAAGUUGGUUCGAAUUUUUCGUCCGUGUGACAGCUAAUUUAGAAGCAAAGCGCAUUUUUAGUCCGAUCGACCCUCAUCUUUAGUGACGUUUUUAGAGCUCGUUAUAUUCAGAUGUCAAUUAAUCGAAGAUCUCACACGUCAUUUCAAUAUCAGAAGUAUUUCGAACUCUUCUUCCGCUUGGACGCAGAGCUUUUCGGAAAAGGGAACACACCAGCUCGCCCUCUAAUACCAACCGUAUUUAUAUUAAGUUUAAAAGAAAUUCAAUUAAUAUCAAGCAUAUAUUGGAAAUAAGCAAAGCGAUGGGAAUUUAGGAUGCAAAAAUUCAGAAAUUAAAGAAUUCUAGAAGAUAUAAGAGAAUUAUUGAGGACUUACUAGGAUUUAUAGGAUGUGCGACGAAAUUCCAAGACCUUCCUCGGAUUUACGUAAAGGAAAGAGAAUUAUUGAUAGAUUGCAGAGAGUUUAUUUCAAAGAAAAGGAUUUAUGGAGUCAAUCAAAAAUUAAAAACGGUUCUUCUGUACGGAACUUAAUGUGGUUUGAGACGGGUGGUAUUUAAUGGAAAGCUCAUCAGAAAGAAAACAUGAACCAUUAACCGCAGUGAUUUUACCGGGUGUCAGCUCACUGGCUCGACCUUCCUCAUCGCUCCUUAUCGGCAGGAUCAACUCUGCUUCUCGAUGGUAACGAAGAUAAAAUGUUCAGGUCCGCAAACGAAUGAACAAUUGCUUGCUGAAACAAUCAGCACCUACAUUUCUUACACAACUACUGGAACACUUCGCAAGGAAGGACAGAAACACGUCUCCAUUAAAAAACAAUUAAAAUAUUUUUUGUAUCGUUUCACUAAAUUACUUUAUACGAUGACUAAAGAUAUAA